rnacentral:rRNA from 1 species
UACACACCGCCCGUCACACCAUGGGAGUUGGUUGCACCAGAAGUAGAUAGUCUAACCGCAAGGGGGGGCGUCUACCACGGUGUGGUCAAUGACUGGGGGUGAAGUCGUAACAAGGUACCC